UCUAUAAUCAACAUUUUUAAAUUUUAAUCACGAAAUUAACACUUGAAGUAAUCAGAAAACAUUACACUGUCCUGAGUUCUGACUCCACCCCAAAAUUGCUAAUUAGGAUUUAGGGUUCUUGCCUAAAUCGUUUUCUCUUCCAUUAACUGUCCCAAAGAACAGAAAAUUUUCAAGCUUCAAUCGCAUUUUCAUUGAAAUUCGCAAAAGUUCUUCAUAUUUUGAAUUAUGCCUCCUCUGAAGAAGAAAUCAAAAAAAUCGAAGAAGAAGAAUUUGAAGAAACUAAAUAACAACACCAAAAAAGUGAAUGUAGUUCCAAUUGAACCUAGACCCAUUGAAUCUGAUUGGUGGGAUAGUUUCUGCCACAAGAGUUCUUCUACCCCAGGUUUGACCAUACCUAGUGAUGAAGAGGAGGCAUUCAAGUAUUUCUUUAGGGUGUCGAAAAAGACUUUUGAGUAUAUAUGUUCAAUUGUAAGAGAGGACUUGAUAUCGAGGCCGCCCUCGGGGUUAAUCAACAUUGAGGGGAGGCUUUUAAGUGUUGAGAAACAAGUUGCAAUUGCAAUGAGGAGAUUGGCUUCAGGUGAUUCACAAGUUUCGGUGGGUGCUUCGUUUGGGGUCGGUCAGUCCACUGUUUCUCAGGUCACUUGGAGAUUUAUUGAGUCAUUGGAGGGUCGUGCUAAGAAACAUAUUAAGUGGCCUGAUCAGGACCGGCUGGAGGAGAUCAAAUUAAAGUUUCAAACUUUGUUUGGGUUGCCGAAUUGUUGUGGAGCGGUAGAUGCUACUCAUAUUCUUAUGACUCUUCCGGCUGUUCAAACUUCAGAUGACUGGUGUGACGAGGCCAAAAAUUAUAGCAUGUUGCUUCAGGGAAUUGUUGAUGACGAGAUGCGGUUUCUUGAUGUUGUUACUGGUUGGCCUGGGGCAAUGACGAUGUCUAGAUUUUUGAAGUGUUCUGGGUUUUACAAGAAGUGUGAAAAUGGUGAUCGAUUAAGUAAAACAUUGAGGUUAGAUGAUGUAGAGAUCAAAGAGUAUGUAGUUGGUGGAGUUCACUACCCUCUUCUUCCAUGGCUCAUAACCCCUUAUGAAAAUCAAGACUUUUCAGCCAUUAACUCAAGAUUUACUGCAGCACAUGAGACUGCGAGGUUACUUGCUGUGAGAGCUUUAUCACAUUUGAAGGGAAGUUGGAGAAUUCUUAGCAAGGUUAUGUGGAGGCCGGAUAAGAGCAAGCUGCCCAGUAUUAUCCUAGCCUGUUGUUUACUCCACAAUAUUAUGAUUGAUUGUGGUGAUAAGUUGCUAUCUGAUAUUAUUGUUCCUGGUCAUCAUGACUCUGGUUAUGAAGAGCAGUCCUGCAAGUCUAAUGAUAAUUCAGGGAGUUCCAUGAGAGAGAGUUUAGUUAAAUAUUUGCAGGCUAGAUAGAGGACACACUGAUUGCCAAUUGUUACCUAAUUUGCUACACCCCCACGAAGUGCGAUUCAGAGACGUGAAUCGAUACAUACAAGUGGUAUGCUUUAGGGCUAAUUUACCAAAUAUUAGUAGCGAAAUGCGUCUCCAUAUUCUACUCGUACAUGAACUAGAUAUCAAUAUGGGCUUGUGUGGAAGUCCCACUUCCCAAGAAGUGUGAAAUUGUUAAUGGAGCAACACCACCAAUGACAGCAAGGAAGAAAACUGCAAUGUGGCUGAUUGGAUCAUCAGAUCCUUGGGUUGCAUUAGCGGGUUUGUUUUUGGUUGUGCUGUUGGAAAGUACAUUACUGACCAAAACCACAUAUGGUUUAUGGAGACUUUUGGAAGAAAGAGGAGGCCGUGGACAGAGGUGAACAGAGAUGCAAAACUUGACUAUGCCUCAAUAAUGUCUUGAAUUUGAGUUUUUGAGGUUGUUUCGGCGACAUUCAAGCUGUAAACCUUGUAAAGAAUGAAGAAUAGAUUGAAACAGCUCUUGACACCCAUCAUCUCAACUUUUGAAGGGUAAUGUCGAGGCACCUAAAUUCAGCUUCAGAUGUUGUUGCAAUUUUGCAAAGUGGUGUUUGUUUCAGCACUAUCAAUCUUGAUUACAAACGUGAAUAAUGUGUAAGUAGAUUGUUAUGGAUACAUGUUUAAAGCAUUAUUGUGCAGCUUGUAUUGACUGACCACUGAUGUAUCUUCUAGUAAAGGGUAUGCUCUCUCUAACUUAUUGGCCCUGAACUUAUCUGAACUGAACUUAUGAACAUGAACUGAACUUAUUGAAUCUAAACUGAACUGAUUGAACCUGAAUUGAACUUAUUGAACUUGAACUGAAUUGAUUGAACCUGAACUGAACCGAUUGAACUUGAACUGAACUUCUUGGAAUUAGAAUUUCAUGAUUUUAGUAAGGGUUUUUUGUCCCAAACUACCUUUAACUUUUAUGUUUUUGCGAGUAACUACCUUAUAAAAAAAUUGUUGUCCCAAACUACCUUACUUUUACCAUUUUGUUGUUGACAACUACCUUAGGCCGAUUUCCGACGUUGACUUUUGUUUUUUCCGCUUUUUUAUUGUCACAUUAUAUCACUUGACCUCUUCAAACCCUUUUUUUAAUUUUUCCCACCCUAAUUUCCUCAUUUUCCGGUGUGCACGCGCUCUCUCCCUCAUAUCUAUGUGACACUUUGUACCACCAAUCCACCAUUAAAUUCCUCUUCUACUUAAACUAAAAUUGAAACAAUCACCCUCCUCAAUUCCCACAAGGGUAAUUUUGUUUUUCCCACAAUUUUGAACUGAAAAAACAAAAGUUAAUGCCGGAAACCGGCAUAAGGUAGCUGUCAACAACAAAAUUGUAAAGUAAGGUAGUUUAGGACAACAAUUUUUUUAUAAGGUAGUUUCUCGCAAAAACUUGAAAGUUAAAGGUAGUUUGGGACAAAAAAUCCUUUUAGUAACUCAAACUUUUAAACGCUUCAUUCAUUAACUAGAAUAUCUCAUUUUUGCCCUUUCUUUCAUAUGCUUUUUGGAUGGCCAUAAUUUGUGUGUGAAAAAUCAAUAUUCUUGGAGCAACUUUUCCUUGGCAGAUUCAACCAAAAAGAGAUUUCAACUUAUUCUCGUCAAUCAUAUUGAAAACAAAUAAGGAGCCAAUUAGGUGGUUUUGCCAUGACUAUAGAGCGUGAGUUCAGACUUCAGACAUGUUUGAUUUACUUCUAUUUAGCUAUAACAAUUAGGAGCCAAUUUUAGCUUUCAGUUAAUUGGUUGGUUGGUUUCUUUCCGUGCAAGGAGGAUUGAUUGAAUCAUCCAAAAUAUGGAGCGUGAAAUGUUAUUAGAUUUUUUUUCUAAGUUUUUGGGGGAUGAAGUGUUAUCGAUUAUAAUAAUACAAAUUUUAUCAUACAAUUGGGUCAGUGGGUGUACCGUGAAUGAAACAUGCACAUGGUAGUACCCGGGUAUUUGAUUAAUGAACUCUUAGAAUAGCUUAUGGUUGGCUCAGUUGGAAAAAAAAAAAUGAAACAUCCAAACUUUGUUUAUAAAAACCUCAAUUCAAUUGGGAAUAUAGUGCAAAUUACUACUUGUAUUAAUCCUUAAAUUUUGAAAAUAUUUGCUUUCAAAAAAAAAUUUUUUUUUUGAAAAUAUUUAGUAUUGGACAAAAGGUCUACUUUGUAUUUGAAUGAAGAUAUAAAAAAGAGUGUUUCCGAAUAUUUUACAAUUGAUCUAAGUCGAACCAAAUCAAUUCCUCCGAAGUGCUUAAGUGCCUAAUUUUAGUACUCCUUUCAGGUUUGUUUUAGAUUGUUUCCUUUUCUCGUUGAAAGACUUGGAGGCCAAGUAAUAGAGCUUAAGUAUUUUUCCCCAUUGUGUUUUUUUUCCAUAACCUAAUUGGAGUAGGAAAUACCGAAAUAAUUAUUAGUUAAAACCUAUAAAAGAGAGUCAUUAAAAAAUAAAAAAGGGAGUUAUAAUUUAGAAAAUUUAGUGUUCUUUGCUGAACUACAUUUAUUAAGUCGAUUUUUACAUACUCUUCUCAGAUCCUAUAUCGUACGUACUCCACGCAUCAACAGAUCAUAAAUUUCAGAUCUUUCUCCUACAAUAUAUCCAAUUAUCCACAAAUCUUACCCUUUACUCUAGAAAAUAACUUAUGCAACUACUGUUUGACUCAAUUUCCCCAAAAUCAUACCUUUAUUUGCCGGGUCGUAAAUAGAGGGUUGUAUUGACACGUAACGUAACUGUUGUAUAAGAAUUCGGUACUCCCUUACAUCAUCUUUACUCUAUCAUCUUUGCUAAAAGAUGGGAAAUUUGAGUUCAUGCUUGAAAACUGAAAAAUUACCAAAGUCAAAAAACAUGGCAAAGUUAGUUGAUUCACAAGGGAAACUAAGACUAGUGAACCUUCCUACAACAGUAGCUGAGUUAAUGCUAUUGCUUGGAACUCCCUGUUUAGCCCUCACUUCGUUGGACGAACUCCGGAGAACUCGCCGUAUUGUGGCGAUGAGUGAUGAUGCCUGUUUAAUUGGCCGGAAUGUUUACUUAUUGAUACCAAUUGACAAAGUUAACUCUAGGUUGUCUGACUUGCAAGUGGCUGCUUUGGAUAAACUAGUGAUAUAUUUGUACUAUGAUGAGAUGAUGGGUCGGACACAUGGAUGUUUUAAGGCUUCUCUUGAUUUGGGGAGUACUACUGGUUUAGCUGGUCGAAGUUUGGAGGACUUCAUGAAGAACUUGGGUGGGGAGAGUACUAAUGGUGCAAUCGGUCCAAGAAUCAAAUUUCGCAAGACUUGGCAACCGGUUCUUGAACCCAUCUUGGAAGAAGAAUGCUACGAUUAAAACAACGAAGAAUUAAAGAACAAUCGAUACAAGGAUUUAACGUGGUUGUCCACACAGCAGGGAGAAUCAGAGGUUAAUAUUAGGACAUAGCGAGACUCAUGUUUGGUUAAUCCUAGCGCUAGAUAAUUAAUUCAAGACAUAGUUUAACAGAAGUGAUAAACAUGCAAUUUUUGCAGCUGAUACUAUUUAUCUUGUCCAAAUUUAUUCAUGUCUGUUUCUGAUACUAUGUGUUUCUUUUGAAUGUACUGAUAUGUAUCUUAACAAUCCUUUUGAGCUGGAUUUAUAUUAUUUAUGUACAAACUAUGUAAAAGCUAGCAA